rnacentral:rRNA from 1 species
UCCUCGGGUCUAGGCCCGAGGAUAGUGGCGCACGGGUGAGUAACGCGUGGGAACCUGCCCCGAGCACCGGGACAACCGCGGGAAACUGCGGCUAAUACCGGACGAUGCCCUUCGCGAGAGGGGCCAAAGUCUCAUCGCAAGAUGGGGCGGCUUGGGAGGGGCCCGCGUCCGAUUAGCUGGUUGGUGGGGUAACGGCCCACCAAGGCUGUGAUCGGUAGCUGGUCUGAGAGGACGAUCAGCCACACUGGGACUGAGACACGGCCCAGACUCCUACGGGAGGCAGCAGUGGGGAAUUGUUCGCAAUGGGCGCAAGCCUGACGACGCAACGCCGCGUGGAGGAUGAAGAUCUUCGGG